rnacentral:rRNA from 1 species
UACCAGCACCCCGAGUGGUCGGGACGAUUAUUGGGCCUAAAGCAUCCGUAGCCGGUUCUACAAGUCUUCCGUUAAAUCCACCUGCUUAACAGAUGGGCUGCGGAGGAUACUAUAGAGCUAGGAGGCGGGAGAGGCAAGCGGUACUUAGUGGGUAGGGGUAAAAUCCGUUGAUCCAUUGAAGACCACCAGUGGCGAAGGCGGCUUGCCAGAACGCACUCGACGGUGAGGGAUGAAAGCUGGGGGAGAAAACCGG